GACGAACGCUGGCGGCGUGCUUAACACAUGCAAGUCGAACGGAAAGGCCCUGCUUUUGUGGGGUGCUCGAGUGGCGAACGGGUGAGUAACACGUGAGUAACCUGCCAUUGACUUUGGGAUAACUUCAGGCAACUGGGGCUAAUACCGGAUAGGAGCUCCUGCUGCAUGGUGGGGGUUGGAAAGUUUCGGCGGUUGGGGAUGGACUCGCGGCUUAUCAGCUUGGUGGUGGGGUAGUGGCUUACCAAGGCUUUGACGGGUAGCCGGCCUGCGAGGGUGACCGGCCACAUUGGGACUGAGAUACGACCCAGACUCCUACGGGAGGCAGCAGUGGGGAAUAUUGUACAAUGGGCGGAAGCCUGAUGCAGCAACGCCGCGUGCGGGAUGACGGCCAGCGGGUUGUAAUCCGCUUUCGCCUGUGCCGAAGCGUGAGUGACGGUAAUGGGUAAAGAAGCACCGGCUAACUACGUG
rnacentral:rRNA from 1 species